rnacentral:rRNA from 1 species
GAUGAACGCUGGCGGCGUGCCUAACACAUGCAAGUCGAGCGAACAGACGAGGCUCUUGCUCCUCUCACGUUAGGCGCGGACGGGUGAGUAACACGAGUAUACCCUCCCUUUAAGACGGGUAUAACUACGGGAAACCGGCUCUAACACCGGAGAAUAUCUUGAACCACAGGGUUCGUUAGUGAAUGACGGUUUUGCUGUCUCUAAUAGAGGGUUCCGCGCCGGAUUAGCUGGUUGGUACGGUAACGGCGUACCAAGGCAACGAUGCGUGUCCGACCUGAGAGGGUGAUCGGCCACACUGGAACUGAGACACGGUCCAGACGCCUACGGGAGGCAGCAGUAGGGAAUCUGCCGCAAGGGGCGAAAGCCUGACGGAGCAAGGCCGCGUGAGGGAGGAAGGUCUUCGGAUCGUAAAACUCUGUUAUUAGGGAAGAACCAAUGUGUGAGUAACUAUGCACGUCUUGACGGUACCUAAUCAGAAAGCCACGGCUAACUUCGUG